AUAUAUAUAUGUUAAACUGCAACUUUCAUUCAAAAUAUGAUAACUGCAGGUACAACAUCAUAUGUAAGUUUGAACAAGGUCCAUAAAAGCAGAAUAAUCUAGCAAAGAAAAGGAGCAUGUCCUUUCCAUGUUAAAUCCCAUUGACCUCGACCCUUGUUAAAGUAGCAUUUCUUUCUCUACUAAUGUUGUUCUAAGCACGUAAAAGAAAAAUCAAAAUGCUCCAGCAUGAAGCAAUCAUGCAGCAAAGUGUUGAACAUGUAAGUUGGCAAUAAUACGAUCUCAACUAUGUACACACCCCCAAAGUGAGGACCUAUGCAGACAUAUCUUUGGUCCCAAAUCGGCUAUGCACGGGGUAGAUCUUGGAUACUUAUAUGGAACCAAGAAACUCAAAUAACAACCUCUGGCUAGUAUUUUUGAGUGCGGUCCUAGAUCAUUACGCAUAAUAUCAGAGCGGACCUAGCCCAUGUCCCAUGUGGACUAGAGGACACUGCAAUAUGGGCCUAUUUGGGCUGACCACAGGCUGAUCGUAGUGUUUACAACGAAUUUACGAUACUUAUGAUUGGACUUAUAUGGAUUUGGAUUCUUAGCAUGGCGAGGAUGCCUAGGCUUAAACAAGAGAAGCAUGUGAAAACUUGUGCAGGCGUGUGUCUAGUCCCACAUCAGCUAUACACUAGAUGAGGUCCCAGGUCAUUACACCCAACCCACCCAUC
rnacentral:lncRNA from 1 species